CGGUACUUGCUGACAUCCGUGCUGGGACAUCCGGGCUGGGUCCCUGCGCGUGGCUGGGGCAGCUGGGAUGCCCAAAAGCCGGGAUGAGCAAACCUGCUGCGGGCAGUUGGUUCUCCCCGCCUUGCCUUGCAAUGUCUCCUUUGAAAACAACACCCACAGAAGUGAAAUCUGGCACCGUGGUGAGUCGUGAGGUCUUUUUCUCCAAGAAAUGGUUCCAUUUGCUCUUGUACUCCAGCUGGAGUAGACUUAAAGGCAACAAUUUCCCUGCUGGACAAGGAAGGAGAUGCUGGCUCUGGAGGAGGGAACUUCAGGUGCCUGUUGAUGGGGCAGAUGGGGGCAAGUGCUGGAGUCUUCUGGGGAGCUGCAUUGAUCAGAUGAGAUUUUGGUGCCUGUUUUGGAUGCAAAAACAGAGGAUGCCCUCAAUCAAGGGGUGCAUAGUAAAGCAGGACUUGCCAGUUCCUGUAUGCCGAUGGGAAUCGCGUUCUGGCACCUUGUCAGUGCUAUAGGACAAGCUGAUGCUCUGAACAGUGAGCCUGGGGGACAAAAGAGUGUGGAUUGCCUCGUGCCUUGCCUCUUCAACCAGUCACCUGUGGUGAGCUCUCACGUGCCAGAGGACGAGGGUGGAGGACAGCAGCCACGUGAAGCUGGGGCAGUGUGGGUGAGCCAAAAGGCUUUUGGCUGGUGGGCUGUGGCAACUGGGGGUCCUCACCACCCUGCAGCAGAGACAACUGGCUCCUGCCAGGUAGAUGCCUUCAGGGGAGUGGACUACUCCAGCUGAACUGAUGAAUCUUGGCACCUGAUACAAGGCUCAGCUUCUGAUAUGAAGAAGGAUAUAGAGUCUUUAAUAGCCCAGGAAAAAGCAGAAAUCGUCGCCAAGUAUGAGAAGGGCAGACAGGAAGGAGCUCAGAUUGACCAGUGGGAAGAUGCCGAUUUCGCACUCUACAAAGUUACAGACCGGUUUGGAUUCCUGCACGAGCAGGAGCUGCCAACCCGCACCGCCUUGGAGGAGAAGCAAAAACAGCAGGAAAUAGAACGUGUGGACAAGUGGCUUAAGAUGCUGAAGAAGUGGGGCAAAUACAGGAACAGUGACAAGAUGUGCCGGCGUGUGUACAAAGGGAUCCCGCUUCAGGUGCGAGGCCAGGUCUGGUCACUUCUGCUGGAUGUUGAGAAGAUGAAGAAGGAGAAUGAAGGAAAAUAUGAGCAAAUGAAAGAGCAAGCAAAGAGCUUUUCAUCAGAAAUCAAACAGAUAGAUUUGGAUGUUAACCGCACCUUCCGAAACCACAUCAUGUUUCGGGAUCGCUACGGAGUGAAGCAACAGGCACUCUUCCACGUCCUGUCGGCAUACUCAGUUUAUAACACUGAAGUGAGCUACUGCCAAGGGAUGAGCCAGAUUGCAGCCAUCCUCCUGAUGUACUUGAAUGAAGAGGAUGCGUUCUGGGCACUGGCACAGCUGCUCACCAACCAGCGCCACGCCAUGCACGGUUUUUUCAUUCCUGGGUUCCCGAAGCUGCAGAGGUUUCAAGCCCACCACGAGCAAAUCUUAAACAAACUGUUCCCUAAACUGAAGAAGCACAUGGACAAGGAGCAGAUGACCACCGGGAUUUACACAACCAAGUGGUUCCUGCAGUGUUUCAUUGACCGGACCCCAUUCACGCUGACCUUGCGGCUGUGGGAUAUCUACAUCCUGGAAGGGGAGCGGGUGCUGACAGCCAUGGCUUACACCAUCCUCAAACUGCACAAAAAGCGCUUGCUGAAGAUGACACUGGAAGAUUUACGUGAAUUUCUGCAGGAGAAAAUUGCUGCUUCCCUGCAGUACGAGGACGAUGCUGUCAUCGAGCAGUUGCAGGUGUCAAUGACUGAACUGCGCAAGAUGAAGUUUGACCUGCCUCCACCAGCAAAGCCUGAGGAGUUUCCAAGGAAACCUCUGGGCCUGGAGCUCUCCCUCAACCCAGUAGCCAUAAAGGAAAACACAGCAGCCAAUGGCCAGAAUGGCCAGGUGGGUGAGCGCACUCCAGACAGCGAGCCCCAAACCCACAGAGUUCCUGGCACACCAGGAGGAUUGACAGUGGUGGAAGUGAGGACUCUCACCUUCCAGGGCAGCGAAGCAGCUGAAGCAACGAAUGUGCCUGUUUUGGGUGGGCGGCCACCGGAUGAGGAGGGUCAGGUGGAGCCCAUCAUGGACGGGCAGCCAUCAUCUCUUCUGAAGUCAAGCGAGAUGCAGACCCAGCAACACCUCCUGCCCACGGUCCUGCCUCCAGAGCAGCCUCUUCUUGCUCCUGGCUGUGCCAUGGUGGACCAUGGAGUCUCCCUCCAUGCCCCAGCUGAGCACAGCUCCUUAGACUCCUCUCUCCAAAACAGGCCGGCUCCUCCUGACUCCAGUACCGCUGAGCUUUCCACUACGGACCAGGCAGUGUGGCAGCCAAAUCCCGCUGCCCUGCCAGCAGGAGAACAGGCAUCUUCCCUGAGCAGAGACACAGUACUCGAAGCAGCCCCCCAUCCUCUGCCAGCCGGCUGCCAGCAGCUCUCCCGCGCAUCACAGAGCAACGGCUCCCCCGAGAGCGAGCACAGGGAGGAAGUGGCGGAUGACAGGCACUGCAGGGCGGUGCUGCCGGACAAAAUGGGCCUGAAGCGCUCGGCAUCCAAAGCUGCAUCCACAGGAGAGCUCCUCAGCCUGCAGCACAAUGGGCUGGGCAGUGCCACCAGCACCACGCGCUGGCCCGAGGCCGUGGGCGUGCUGCCCGCGCACAGGCAGGCAGGGGGCAGUGUGCCCAUCUUGUCCAGCAGAGAGCCGGAGGCAGCAGGGCUGGCCGAUGGCUGCCCCGCCCAGCGGGCGCCGUCCCCUGUUGUGGAAGGGAACAGCCCCUAUGUCGUUAUCAAAACCACCGCUCCCCUCCACCUGGCCCAUGCGACAGAGCAGGACUUCUUGAACAGAAAGCAGGUGGCAUUGCCUUUGUCAGAGACUGGACAUUCUCUGCCUACCACCUCCAUGCCACCACCUCUUAUGCCGGACCCAGAGGAGGUAGAGGUCCAGAAAAGCCUGCAGAAACCAUUAAAUGCACUGAAAGCCCCACGACCCCCGCUGAGCCCCAAACCAAAAUUACUGCCACAGGUUGCCAAAUCCCGCUCAGAGAACAGUUUCCUUUCAGGCUCUCCUUCCCUGCCAAAGCUGCCCAAAUCGGUGACAUUCUAGUGGGGAUGGGGAAGGGGAAGUUAAAGGAGAAGUGGGUUCUGGAGAAGCAUUUUUGCCCCAUCUACAGGAUCCCCUUCUGUCAGCAGGGCUGUCAGGGUGACAGCACAGCACCAUUGCACAUCAUGCUGUGCUUUGGUACGAGCACCCAGCAAGGAGACGAAGCAAUGGCCACCAGCGCUAGGAGACACCAGCAGAUUGGAUUUGCAUGUUUCCUAUGGACAAACUGGAAAAUGCUUUCAUUUUUUGUUCCUCAAAGCUCCCCAAGUCUCUUCACUUGGGGGAAGAGGCAGGGCUGGUUACAACCUGGUCUGAAACACCACAGAAAAACAAAAAGGAAGCCCCAGCACCACUGAACACCACAGUGUUCACUGUCACAGAAGCAGCCUGAGGAUGCAGCUCUUGGCACAUCGCCUGUGCCAUUUCACACCGGAUGCCAGCACAGGGAUGCAGCACUGUGACCAAGGGUGAGAGCCCCAGGCUCUCAGGGUGUCUGUGCUUUAGGCUCUGCUCCCAGAACCCCAGGCUGGAGUGAAGCAAACCUCAUCCCUCCUGUGUUCCAGGUGCUCACAAGCAGCCUCGUUGCACAAGCUGCUUUGUGUCACCUCCCGGCCACCAGCUCCCGUCAACCUGCUGGAUCUCAGGCAGUGCCAGGUGGGACCAGGUUUGAACAUCUGCCAUGGUUACUUAAUGUGACAGGCAGUGCAGGGUUUAGAAAUGGCAUUUAUCCAACUGCUUAAACAGCAUCCCUGUCAAGGAGAGAGCAGAAGUGUCCAGAAGGGCAGCUUCCCUAAGGGAAGGUGAGUUGUGCUAGGUUUGAGGGUUGUGUUCCUCCAUUAAACAGCCUUUGUUCACUUGGUUGUUGAAAAAAAACGGAGGAAGAUAUUGCUUACCGGUAUUCUUGAUCCCCAGGCUUCCUGCAUUUGCUCAGCUGUGGCCUUGUGGCUGUGGUACUCUCACCCUUUUGGGGUGCCAAGCACCCACUGCACUGAGUCCUUCCCCACCUGUGCCCCCAAGGGUCUGACUGCUGCUGGCAGGGGACAAAGAUUAGGACAAGCCCAAUGUUACAGAUACUUACUUGAUGGACAGCAUUGGGACCACCAGCAAAUGAGUGUCAUAGAUGGUGUUGAGGUUGCUGCUUAAAUCCCAGUGGUCUUACCAGCCAGGGACUGGUCCUCCCACUGCCUCUUCCUCUGCACUUGGCAUUUGUCAGUACUAUCAUGCCCCUUUUCCUGGUGGAGCCACUGCUGUCAUCACAGCAGCUCUCCAGCUCCCAGGGCUGGUCCCCAAGGCAGAAUUGCAAACUCCCCAAGCUGUGCUCAGCUUUGGUGCCCUGGCAGCCUCCUAGGGCUCCUGUCCUUCCUGGCUCACAAACAGCCAAACCAGCAGGCCCAGGAGCUGGGAUAGCCAGGAGACCAGGUCUGUCCUUGCUGCUUGCUGGCUCUCAGCCAAGCCCUGACUGUGCUUAUCACCAUCGCUGCUCACCUCCCAUGACACAGAAAGCUCAUCAACCGCUUCAUGCCUCCACCAGGCUUCAGCCACUUGGCACUGAAUAAUUGAUGCUAAGUGGAGCCUGGAGCAGAGAAGCUGAGGGAGGGAGCAAGGCUUUGUGCUGCUUUAGGCUCUGCUCCCAGAUAUAGCAGGGGGAGAGAGAUGGGUGUGCUGUGUCUGGCAGCUUUGUGCCUCACCCAGUUUGGCAGAGGUGGUUGGAGUUUGGCUGGGCCUGGAAGCGUUUCUCCUCUUGGCCUUGCUGUGCUGCUCACCUGCUGCUCACAUGCUGCUGUGUCCUACUGCCAUGGCAGUGCUGCUGUGGCACCUGUGGGAGCUGCAUGCUGCUGUCAUGCUGCUCCCGUGCUCCUUGAGUGCUGUAGAGGGGCCACAGUAGUAGUGGAUGGGACUUGGGGAGCAGAGCAAGGGCAGACCCAGCAGCCCUUGCUAGGGCUGGUACCAUGGCUCUCCUAAGCUACAGACCCUGCACUCAACCCAUAGCAAGAGCAAAGUAGUUGCACAUGGGGCCAAGCCCAUCUGCCUCUUCCUCUUCCCACCAGUUGCUGGUGGCCAGGAUGGUGGCUGUCACACCAUCCUCUGAGCAAUGUCAUCCCCUUCCUACAGUGCAUCCCCACGUAUAAAGCAGCAUAUGGAGAAAAUAACAGCCUGGCAAUUCAAAGAGGCAGGUCCGACCACUUCCCAAACCAUCUUCCAAAUCCUACUGCCUCAGAAGCUGAAGCCUACAGGGCAUAUGCCAGCAUCCUCUUCACCUAGAAGGAUGUGGACACCAAGAGAUUACCAAACCACAGCUGAAACAUCUCACCAGGAGAUGCACCAGGUGGACCCAUCCCACGGGCGUCCUUACUCACUGGCAGCAGUUACAAAAGAGCCCAAGAUGGGGAUGCAGAAGGUUUAGAAGGCACACACGAAGACAUGAGUCCAAGGGAUUGGAGUCACUAAAGCCUGGCUAUUCUUCCACACAGUAAAACAGGCUCCUCCUAAGACACAGAGAAAAGUAAGCUAAGAAACUUCCAAUUUUGGCCAAAAUUGGUAUGAGCUCCCUUAGAGGUACCUGAGGCUACAUGGGAUGCAAUAUCACAAGACCCCCUUCCAAUGAUCCCAUUAAGAGCCUGGGCCACUCUGGUGCCGUGGAGGCCACUCAGCCUGGCCUCACAUCAGAGCCCUGCUCUUGGAACAUCUAAGCCUACAGACUUGGGGAAGCUGUUUCCUGAGGGGCUUUGCUUACCUUUAUGGUGAAGGCAAGAAGUCAUACAGAAGUACUGCUUAGGCUGGAAAGGCUUGCAGCAGUAGCUGUAGUCCAGAAGGGAAACCUGGUCUGCUCCUCUACCCAACCACACUGCAGGUGAGGAGGAUGAGGCCAGCAUUUAGCCAAAGCUGCUGUGUGAAAGCUGAAUGAAAGCUCAGCCUUUCAUUCAGCUGCCACUACCACCACCCUCACAUCUCAGGUCUCACUCCAGCACUGAGUCAUUGCUGCCAGCUCCUGCACAACCCAGGUCUUUGCCAAAGCCCUCGGCAAGCACCAUACGCUCACCUGCUUUGGAUUCACCCUCUCUGCUGACUUAGGAGAACGCUCCUGUGGAAGCCCCCACAGACCAAAAGGCAUGAGAUCUGUUCCAGCACUUGAUCAGCAUCAUUAAGGACUUGUAAGCAAUCCUGGGAGUUGACUCAGCUGUGGUGUCUCUGGAGCCCCAACCCCUCUGUAACAGGGUGUGGGGCACUGGAACGAUGUGAGAGAAGAACAUGUAUUAUUCGCCUGUCCUGAGACAUCUGGACCUGACCAGACUAGAACAGACCUCGUCAGCUAUUCUGUAAUUUAAGUACAGGUUCAAAGGUGGCACUCCUCCAUCAUGGGAAAUAUAGUCUCAACAUAAUCAGUAGGAGGCUGACUGAAGCCUUCUCAGAGCUGCUUUUCACAUUGGCUGGAGAUCCACAGCACAGCACAAGUUUAGUUCAGCUUUGUCAUGACCAGCUGAAGAGAUCACAACAGCCAGAGAUGAGCUGAUGUACUCAGAGCAAAACAUUUACCUCUGUGGACUCUUUUCCAGCUUCAGCUGUGCAACAGGAAUAAUCAGAAUACAUUCUGCUCACCUGAGCUUGUUGCCUCUGAAGCAGAAUUGAGCUACACAACAGACUUCUUAUCAUAAGGGAAACAACUGCAGUGUCUGAAAACUUCCAUCUUCCAGUCGAGGUACUUCUAGAACAAAAGUGCCUUGAAUAAAUAUGGGGAAAAUCAACUCCAAACCCCUCAAUUUCUUCUCCAAACCUCCAUUCACUCCAGUGAAACUGUAAUCCUGGUAUUACUUUCAGACUCAAGAAGUUCAGCUAGCAUAUCAGAACACAUUGUGAGUUCAUGUACUGACGCCCUGCCUGUCAGGGGCCAGCAAGAUGAUGUCCUGUCCCCAGAUCAGUACCAAGGUAGCAAGUGAAAAAGCCAAGUCAAGAGUAACAACUCUACCUGACAGAAGUGAUACAAUCUGGUUUUUGCCAACAGCAAAGAUCAGACCAGAUCACAACUUAUCAAGAUCUGUCAUGAUUUUCUUCCUGGAACAAAGAUGCAGUAUGACAAUACACAAUUAACACCUGUUUUUUGGAGAAGAUCUGUGGUGUUAUGCUUUUAGCACCUCCUUUUGCUCCUAACCUACCUCCAACUUUUAGCAUGGACUUGAACAAUGACCUGAGUCUCGAUUUCUUGUGACCCAAUUACAGCAAAAAACUAACCAGCUCCUGUGAUGGUCUGUCACUGACCAGGACUGUCUGACAAGCUUGAAAAUCUUACCCUGAGUGCAGAAACCUCUCUGAAAGGGAGAUGCUCUUACUUCAGUUUCCUGCUCCUCACCAAACUCUUUUAAGUAGUUUGUAUUCUGGCCAUUGCUGUUCUAGCAUAUCCUCACCAAGAUGUGCCAGUUUCUUGGAACUCCAUCUAUUGCCUGCCCUGUGAAGACACCUUGGUCCUGGCACUCCCUGGAGCUCCUCAAGCUUCCUUGACCACAGCUCCCAAUACUUGACUGUGGCAUUUUUCUUCCAGCCAGAAAUGAGAGGAGACUCAGUGGUUAGAGCCAUCCAGUCCUUGAGAGAGCCCCAGAGUGUUACUUCUCUGAAGGCCUCCAGAUAGAUCUAUCCCAUCCUUCACCAAGGGCCUGGGGAAGAAAGGGAUCAGUCCUACUGCAAAUGAAGAGCACCAGGUUCCUAGUGAGUAACACUAUCAAGCAAGGGCCCCUAUGUCAUCUUCUGGAAGGACAAAGUACUGCUGUCCAGUUGUGCACAAGAUGCCAACUUUAGGAACAACCCCCAUACUUCCAGUCUUCACACUUGAAACAACUCAGAGUGGGAGGUUUUCUGGGAGUCUCUGGUCCAGAUCCACCAAAGAAAACUAGGUUCAGCAUCUUCAGCAGUCCUCCAGCACAGGGACAGACACUGCUGUAAACAGCACACCCACCUAAAGGCAAGGCACUCUCCCUUCGGGCAAUUUCUGCAACUCCAGGAGCUGGUAUCAGUCCUUCUGCCAGAACAGGGUGCCAGGCAGCUGCAGCCAGGGUGAGGGCUGUGCCCUACAGCAAUUCAGAGCAGGCAUUUACAGAAAGCAAGCUAUUAGCACAAGUCCUCUCUUGCCCAGGCCAAAAGUAAAGACAGUACCCCCAAGGAGCAUGGGAGUUGAAUUCUGUUGCUUUAAUUCUGCUGCCUGGCAUGAGGGAGGAUAGGGAGUGGGAUUGGAGGUUGCUUGCAAGGAUGCUGGGAAGCCUUGGGUGGGCUGUGGCUUUGUGCUGGGGGUGACCAGGGUUUCUUUACUGGUUUUGCCAUGUGAGGCAUGUGACUCACACACCAUCCUCGCUGCUCCCAACCCAGACCAACCUUGGCUGCCAAACCCAGCACCGCUUCAGGCCUGGGCUAGCCCAUGCAGAACAGCUCCCUGCCGCACUCAGCUGGAUCACCUUCCCCCUUUGAUGCUUCUAAUUCUGGAUGCCAGGUAAAUUAGCCUUUGCAAUACCUUGGAAGAGGGAAAGCUACCCACUGCACUGAAUGCAAUGCCUUGUCUUGGGGCUGCAAGUAAAAGGCACGUAGGUCAGACCUCAGGCAAAAACCCCAAAGGAGGAGAGCUGAACAAAGACAGGGUUCCCAACAGAUUAGCCCUAAUCCAAAACAUUCUUACCCACUUGAAACCCAGAGACUGGAAGCCUGAAUCCUUCAGUCUUAGUUGCUGAGCAGCCAGACAGCUUCUGCAGUGCAGGCAAGCCCUUCUUGACAUGCUCACCAGUCAGGAAACCAUGCACAGGGCAGACGAGGAUUUGCUUACCCGUACAUACUGGAGCAGCCCAAGGUGUAUGUGCUAUACAGGUGUUAGCAUAGCUAGGGCUGGAAGGAACCAGAAAGUCCCAAUUCUACCUCUAGAGCACAACACAUGAGAGAGGUCUUCUGCCAGAAAGAGCUGACAGGAAUCAGGGAAGCAACAAACUGGUACCAGCUGAGGUGAAAGCAGCUCUCGAAUCUCCUCGCUGAUGCUUCUUCCCUUCCAGGCAUUGCAUCUGAGGCCAUAAACCCCACAAGGACUAGAAUGAAAGCAAAGCACUCAAGAGGUGCCAAGGACAGGCUUGGACUGGUUGCACUCUUCCACCCUCCCAAAACUUGGAGCCAGCAGAGUUCCAGGUGGGCUGGGGAGGACAUGACAAAGACUUGGUGGAGACAGAGACAAGCUGUCUUGCUGUGACAGCUUAUCUCUUCC